AGACCAGUCCGGAUCACCAUUUUGCUGCUUCAUGGAAAGCUUUCGGAAAACCAAUAAUUCUGAUUAUCUGGUAGAAGACCGGAAAGGGUUUGAGACAUGGAAGAACAUGACACCUGAGGAGAGGUCCCCUUUUGUCCUUCAAUCGGUAACGGUGAAUUUAGCAUACGAAAAAAUUUUGCUCAAAGGAGAGGAGGAAAUGGAGGAAUUGGAGGUAGAG